rnacentral:rRNA from 1 species
GACGAACGCUGGCGGCGUGCUUAACACAUGCAAGUCGAACGGAGCGAAUGAAAGCUUGCUUUUAUGAGCUUAGUGGCAAACGGGUGAGUAACACGUAGACAACCUGCCGACAGGAUGGGGACAACAUUCCGAAAGGAAUGCUAAUACCGAAUGAAGUCAGAGAAGGGCAUCCUUUUCUGAUGAAAGAUGGCCUCUGAAUAUGCUAUCACCUGUCGAUGGGUCUGCGUCUGAUUAGCUGGUUGGUGAGGUAACGGCUCACCAAGGCGACGAUCAGUAGCCGGUCUGAGAGGAUGAACGGCCACAUUGGGACUGAGACACGGCCCAGACUCCUACGGGAGGCAGCAGUGGGGAAUCUUCCGCAAUGGGCGCAAGCCUGACGGAGCAACGCCGCGUGAGUGAAGAAGGUCUUCGGAUCGUAAAGCUCUGUUGAUGGGGACGAAUGUA